rnacentral:lncRNA from 1 species
AGUGGCGGAUGCACGUAGAGGCAAGUGAGGGCACUGGACCCCACUAGAUUUUAUAGUUUUUUAAUAUUAAUAUAUAUACAUACAUUAACAUAGCUGGCUGAUAUUCUACAAUCCACCUUCAAUCUUCUUCUUUGCUUAACGUUAUCAUCAAUUGCUUCUUGGUUGUUCAUUAUAUUUCUUUAUUUUCUUUCUCUCCAAAAAGUAGAACAUGUAUGUUUUCCAUCUUUUUCUUCGACAUCGAUCUCGAAAUUUAACAUGCAUGGAUAUUUGAAUUCAUAUGUGGAAUGGUUGCUUCUUUUCUAUGCUAUUUGAUAUUUAAAUAGUUGAAUUUAUUAUUGUUCUUGUUCUCCAAUUACGUAAUAUUAUGUUCUUUUCUGAAUAGAAGUAUAAAACUAAAUUUUUGGAUGAGCUAAAUUAUCAAAUCACUUACUAAUAUAACAAAUUAAGUUAACUUUGAUAUUGCCCGUUGCAAUAGUCAAUAUUGAAAGAGUUUUUUCAGCUAUGAAUCUUAUUAAAAGUAUACUUUGAAAUAUAACCAGAGAUGCUUGAUUAUAAACUAUCAUCCUCCAUAAUAUCUUAAAAAAAAUUUGGCCCCCAUUAAAGUUUAUGGC